rnacentral:lncRNA from 1 species
AAUUUGAUACCAAUAUCUUAUUUUAAGGAUAGGUAUAAAUUCAGAUAUAUGCAGAAAGUAAAGUAAAUUUUUAUUUAUAUAAUAAUUUAUGAAUAAAUAAGAAUAAAAAAAUAGUGUAAAUAGAAACUGUUUAUUUCAGGAAUAAAUAUAAGUUCGAAUAUAAAUAGGAACUAGAGUAAAUUUUGUUAGGACGAUAAUUUAGGAAUAAGUAAAAAUAAAGAAAAUAGUAUUUUGAUGAUUAAAAAAAAAAGAAAAAAAAAGAAACAGCGGGUAAUUAUAUUUUUCAAAUACCAAAAAUACUCCGCACUUUAAACCUCUAUUUUCAAAAAUUGUCACUCAUCCUCCUCCACCUCUUCCUCUGCAUCUUCUCCUUCUCCAU